GCCACAUAUCUCUCCUGGGGAGGGCGACUCACCAUGAUCGAUGCUGUCCUCUCUUCCAUUCCAAAUUACUAUAUGGCCUGUAUAAAGUGGAACAAGAACAGCAUAGCAAAAAUAGACAAGCUCAGAAGAAAUUUCCUCUGGCAGAAGAAGGCGGAUAGGCAGCGUGCCGACUGCUUGGUUGCUUGGGAUCAAGUAAUUUCCAGCAAGCAAAGCGGUGGUUUGGGGAUCAGGGACUUAGAGGCUCACAAUGAUGCGAUGCUCUGCAAGUUCACCAGCAGGAUACUCCAAAGUUCAUCAGUCCCAUGCUACCAAUGGUUCCAGCAGAGAUAUUUGCGCAAAAGCUUGCCUGACAAACCUAAGGCCACUGACACACACCUAUGG
rnacentral:rRNA from 1 species